CGACUUAGAGAGCAUCCAAACUUAUUUACAAAAGGGAAAACUGAGGCCCAGCGUCCCUGCGUGAGUUAAGAGGAGGCGACAGAUGCAGGCCAGGGUGAGGAACUGGAAAUUCCCGGAUCUGGUCAGGUGAGGGCGUGACUACGCGUUGGAGAAACGCCCACCCACAAAGGCCAAAUAGAGUUGCCGAAACCCUGUCUCUGGCUCUCCAGCCACUCCUCGCCCUGCACCCACCCCCUUGGCUCACCCGACAGCACCAACUUUGAGCCCUUUAUCAGCCUAGACUCCGCCCUCCCGCUGUGCCCUCUAGGCGCCACCUCCCUUAAAACCACACUCCCGCGUUCCCAGACCUAUGCCAGGUCCCAGCAAACAGAGGGGUGUUAGGAAGCCAAGUGAAGUGACCAAUAAAUAUUUUAAUCACCGUUAAAAAUUAAGACCUA
rnacentral:lncRNA from 1 species